rnacentral:rRNA from 1 species
GACGAACGCUGGCGGCGUGCUUAACACAUGCAAGUCGAACGGAAAGGCCCUGCUUUUGUGGGGUGCUCGAGUGGCGAACGGGUGAGUAACACGUGAGUAACCUGCCCUUGACUUUGGGAUAACUUCAGGAAACUGGGGCUAAUACCGGAUAGGAGCUCCUGCUGCAUGGUGGGGGUUGGAAAGUUUCGGCGGUUGGGGAUGGACUCGCGGCUUAUCAGCUUGUUGGUGGGGUAGUGGCUUACCAAGGCUUUGACGGGUAGCCGGCCUGAGAGGGUGACCGGCCCCAUUGGGACUGAGAUACGGCCCAGACUCCUACGGGAGGCAGCAGUGGGGAAUAUUGCACAAUGGGCGGAAGCCUGAUGCAGGCACGCCGCGUGCGGGAUGACGGCCUUCGGGUUGUAAACCGCUUUCGCCUGUGACGAAGCGUGAGUGACGGUAAUGGGUAAAGAAGCACCGGCUAACUACGUG